GAUGAACGCUGGCGGCGUGCUUAACACAUGCAAGUCGAACGGAAAGGCCCAAGCUUGCUUGGGUGCUCGAGUGGCGAACGGGUGAGUAACACGUGGGUGAUCUGCCCUGCACUUUGGGAUAAGCCUGGGAAACUGGGUCUAAUACCGGAUAGGACCAUCGUUUAGUGUCGGUGGUGGAAAGUUUUUCGGUGUGGGAUGAGCUCGCGGCCUAUCAGCUUGUUGGUGGGGUAAUGGCCUACCAAGGCGUCGACGGGUAGCCGGCCUGAGAGGGUGUACGGCCACAUUGGGACUGAGAUACGGCCCAGACUCCUACGGGAGGCAGCAGUGGGGAAUAUUGCACAAUGGGCGCAAGCCUGAUGCAGCGACGCCGCGUGGGGGAUGACGGCCUUCGGGUUGUAAACUCCUUUCGCCAAGGACGAAGCGUUUUGUGACGGUACUUGGAGAAGAAGCACCGGCUAACUAC
rnacentral:rRNA from 1 species